rnacentral:lncRNA from 1 species
CUCAAAGAUAUGUAUAUAUUAAUAUUUAUAUUAGUAGGGUAACGAGGAUGGUCCUCACUGAAAACCAUUCUUUUCAUUUUGUUUCAGAUUAUUGUUAUGAUCUAUUAUUUUAUUUCAUAAUAUUUAAUUCCCACGCAUGCAAAGUGAAAGUGCAAUUAAUAUUGAUUCUGGUUAUGGUUCUUUUUGUCGACUAUCCACUCUCUUUGCAUAUGGCUUUAUUUUUAAGUGUUGCAUGUUUGCAACUUUGCAUCCAUAUCAGUUCAACUGAAUGUGCAAUUGUGUUAUUCUUUAAACUGGAAUGUUCCCCUUAGUUGCUUCAGGUUUUGAACGGAGUUCCCAAGAGACCGCUUCCAUGUUAGUUACUGAGUGAUGUUUGUAAGUAAAUCUUGCAGUUUUCUAUUUUUAGCUUCCUUGAACUUUUGCACCUGGGUAGAAUCGUCAGAUCAAUUGCUAAAUUUUGUCGGGAUUCGCAUAAGAGAGUUAGAGAGAAAAAGAAUAAAGACUAACAAAAAAAUGAGGAAAGAUGAUGACCAGGUUUGAGUAAAUACUUUGUAAGCUGAAGUGUAUAUUCAUCUCUUGAAUUCUGUUUAAUUUUAACUACUUUUAUCUCUUAGUCUGCUUGAUAUGAUAAGCAGUUAGCACUAAAAGCCAUUGGAAAGUCACAACAGGUAUUUAUCUGACCAUACUUGAGCAUUUGUCAUUAUCUGUAAAAUUAUUUAUAUAGAGACUUUAAUUAGCUGAUCAUACUUAAGUCGUUACUCACAUAUUUAGUAAAUAUGGACAUAUCAAUCUGAAUCUAGAAUAUGUAUCGCUUCAGCCGUUCUUGAUCUAUGCA